rnacentral:lncRNA from 1 species
AAAUUUAGGUCGACCAAAACCCGACCCAUUUAAUAAUCGUGUCAAAAUAUUGAGACCCAAACCCGACACGGAAAAAUAAUCGAGUUACCCAAUAACCCGUUUAAUAUCUAUAUAUUGAACAAAAAUUACAUCAAAUAUUUACACACUAUCAUACAUACGUAUGUACAUACAUACAUACAUACAUAAUUUAUCGAUAUUAUAAAAUAUACAUAUCUACCAAUAUAUUACACAUUUACACUAUUGAGGUUUUAAUUAUAUAUGUAAUAUUAUAUAUCAAUAUUAUAAAAUAUACAUGUCUAUCAAUUUUUACACAUUUACACUAUUGAUGCUCUAAAUGUAUUUAAAAUUUUAUAAAUAAAACACUGUGUUUAUAUUCACCCUUUUAAAGAAUUAAAAAAAA